GGUCGACCACAGAUCCUUCUCUCACCUGCCUCAUACUUUCUACUAAUAUACAUGAUAACUUUGUUUUUAUUAUCAUCUUUUAUGGCAUGGUGGCAUCAUUAGCAACCUAAGUAGCCUGUCUUGUGCCGGAGGCAAAGAAAUUUUCGUUUUACUUUGUGUGUUGUUAUUAAAGCAUAUACAAGAUUAUUAUUGCUCUAUCUCUACAGUUUUGCUUGUCGGAUAUACCAUCUUAAAUACGAUUUUGGUCGUUCAUGAUCUAUUUUGUACCCAAUAGAGCGGAUCACGGUCAGCUGAUGGGCUUUACCUUUUUCUUUGGUGAUUAAGAAGCUCCAGAUUAAGCAUGCUCUUAUAUAUGGUCUACUUAGAUCGACAAGGACAGUGAUAAGUUAAGAAAAUUGUAAAUAUGACCGAUAAUUAGAGGUCCACUACAUAUAGAUUGCUCUUAUCUUAUGCCCUUGGUAGUCAUAUGUAAUUACAUUUAGUACAAGAGGUCUACAACAUAGAUCAGUCUAAUCUUAUGAUUUUGUGAUCGUAAUUUGGACGAAAGUGACUGAAAGUCACAAGUAAAUAAAUUGUGUUGUUUUGAGUUUACUCACUAGAUAGUGGAUCAUUUUAAGCUCAUUGGCUUUGCCCUUUCCUUUGCUGAUUAUGAUUACGAAGCUCUGGAUUAACCUGGAUUUUAUGUAUGACCUAUUUAGCACCAUGGACAAGGAUGGUAAAUGAUCAGUUAUGAGAAUAGUAAUUACAACUAGUAACUACAGGCACAAAACAUUAGAUCAAUUUAUCUUGCCUUCGUGGUUGCAAUUUGAAGGAAAUAACUUAAAAGCAACCCGCGAAUAAAUUUGCAUUGUUUUCAAUUUUCUUGCAAGAGAGGCCAAAUGUGGAACGGAAUAGUAGCAAUAUCAUUAACUGAAGGAAGUCCAUAUUUCAACCCUGGAUUGUCAUCAAACCUAAAGAAACAUCCCAGUAAAAUGGUUGAUAAGAGGAGGGUUGAUACUUGUCUGAUUUCCAAAGUUUGGGGCUCUAAAUUAGAUGGUUUGAAGGUCGGGGUCGUUUCUUUGACUUUGGUGACA
rnacentral:lncRNA from 1 species